rnacentral:rRNA from 1 species
UUAGUGGCGGACGGGUGAGUAACGCGUGGAAAACCUGCCGUAUACUGGGGGAUAACACUUAGAAAUAGGUGCUAAUACCGCAUAAGCGCACAGCUUCGCAUGAAGCGGUGUGAAAAACUCUGGUGGUAUACGAUGGUUCCGCGUCUGAUUAGCUAGUUGGUGGGGUAAUGGUCUACCAAGGCAACGAUCAGUAGCCGGCCUGAGAGGGUGAACGGCCACAUUGGGACUGAGACACGGCCCAAACUCCUACGGAAGGCAGCAG